rnacentral:lncRNA from 1 species
CAGGUCUUAAGUUUAAUGGUUAAGAUGCUGGUUAAGAUACCUGCAUCCACACCAGAGUGCCGGGGUUGAAGAUUGGUUCCUGACUCUGACUUCCUGCUGAUGCAGAUCCUGGGAGGCAGCUGUGAUGGCUCAAGAAAUUGUGGUCGUUCUCCCCACAUGGCAGACCUGGACUGAGUUUCUGGUACCUGUCUUCAGCCUGGCUCAGCCUUGGCUGUGGUGGGCAGUUGGAGGGUAAGGCAGCAGAUGAGAGAUCUCUGUCUCUGUCACCGUGCCUAUCAAUAAUUUUAAAAAAGUCAUGAGAGAUGGCUGUUAGUAGAACUAUUUAAUAGAUGAAGAAACUGAAGUUGAGAAACAUUACCUGGCUUGCUCAGGCUUCUAUAGAAAGUAGCAAUAUUGGGGGGAAACUCAUUUCUUACCUGAUUCUGGAGUCUGCUCUCUUUCUAAACACCCUUCCUGUUCAAAAUGAUCAUCAUGGUCCGUGGGGACCUGGUUAGAUAAAUGUGGCUGUGGCAUCCACUUGCUUCUCUGAGAACAACUAGAACAGAAAUGUGUUUCAACAGCUCAGAGAAAAACGCGCAUUUCCAUAGAUGUGCUGUAUGUAAACUAUGCCUCAUCUUCAGGGAGCAUAUUUGCAAGGGGGGUUUGUUUUUUUUUUAUUUUUUCCACAGUGCUUAUAUUCACAUCCUUACCAAACAUAUUAUCUUAGAGGCAAUCAAAUUAAACAAUAAAUUUCAUUUAUUUCCAAUGUCCUUUAUUCUUCCUAAGCAUAUUUGUUUGUGUUUUGACCUUUCGGAGAGUGUGUGUGAUGUGAAUUGGAGUCAUUUUACCAGCAAUUCUCCUUUACUGUAAUUUUUCAGUCACAAGGUCUUUGACUACAUAACCAUGUUGCUCGUCACCACAUUGAAUCUCAAAAAAAGUAACAUCUGACGGAGCUGGGAAUGGGAAAGUGAGAGACAGGUGGUGACGUAGCCUGCAGUCUUCAAGGCUUCUACCUUAUUCCUGGGGCUAGGUAUUUCUGUUGGACCUUUAGGUCUCAGGGUUUUCUGUGACUCUCAGAAGACCGUCCUUCUUGGGACACGUGCCCCUUGGGAACAGGACUGUCACAGGGGACAUUCCUGAGCAGGCCGUCAUGGCUGAGGACGUGCUUUCUGUCACGCCUCUAACCUGACUCUUCUUGAGACGCAACAUGUCGCAUCCCAGAUUUGCCCUGGCCAUUUCGGGCUCCAGGAAAAUGUGGCACUCAAUUUCUUGCCAGUCAAUGUUUUAUCAUAUAUAUAUAUGUGUAUGUAUACAUAUAUAUGUGUAUAUAUAUAUAGAUACACACAUAUGUAAGAUAUACAUAUACAUGUAAUACAUACAUGCAUAUAUGUAAUAUAUUCAUAAAUAUAUGUAAAAUAUAGAAACAAAUUUUAUCUGAUUUCUCCA